AUUGAACGCUGGCGGCAGGCCUAACACAUGCAAGUCGAGCGGAUGAAGGGAGCUUGCUCCUGGAUUCAGCGGCGGACGGGUGAGUAAUGCCUAGGAAUCUGCCUGGUAGUGGGGGAUAACGUCCGGAAACGGGCGCUAAUACCGCAUACGUCCUGAGGGAGCAAGUGGGGGAUCUUCGGACCUCACGCUAUCAGAUGAGCCUAGGUCGGAUUAGCUAGUUGGUGGGGUAAAGGCCUACCAAGGCGACGAUCCGUAACUGGUCUGAGAGGAUGAUCAGUCACACUGGAACUGAGACACGGUCCAGACUCCUACGGGAGGCAGCAGUGGGAAUAUUGGACAAUGGGCGAAAGCCUGAUCCAGCCAUGCCGCGUGUGUGAAGAAGGUCUUCGGAUUGUAAAGCACUUUAAGUUGGGAGGAAGGGCAGUAAGUUAAUACCUUGCUGUUUUGACGUUACCAACAGAAUAAGCACCGGCUAACUUCGUG
rnacentral:rRNA from 1 species